rnacentral:rRNA from 1 species
AAAACAGGGAGGUAGUGACGAUAAAUAACAAUGAUUCAAUGAUAACAAAGUUGAAUUAAUUGGAAUGAGAACAAUAUAAAUCCCUUAUCGAGUAACAAUUUCAGGGCAAGUUCUGGUGCCAGCAGCCGCGGUAAUUCCAGCUGAAAAAGCGUAUACGAAUAUUGUUGCAGUUAAAACGCUCGUAGUUGGAAUAAGAAGUAAAAUAAAGGAAAAAUAACAUUGUUGUUUUUUGAUUUUAUUUUAUUUUUUUAAUUUUAUAUAUAAAAGUAAUUUUUAUAUAUAGUGUUUACUUUGAAUAAAUUAGAGUGCUUUUAAGCAGAUUAAAAAAUAUUUUUGAUAUUUUUUUUUUGACGUUUUGAAUAAUUUUAGCAUAGAAUAAAAUAAUAAGAUUUGAAAGAUAAGAUUUGGUAAUUAUGUAGCAAAUAAUGAU